GAUGAACGCUGGCGGCGUGCCUAAUACAUGCAAGUCGAGCGAACAGAUGCGGAGCUUGCUCCUCUGACGUUAGCGGCGGACGGGUGAGUAACACGUGGAGAAUCUACUUAUACGACUGGGUUAACUUCGGCAAACCGGAGUGAAUACCGGGUAAUAUAUUGAACCGCAUGCUUCAAUAGUGUAAGACGGUUUUGCUGUCGGUUAUAGAUGGAUCCGCGCCGCAUUAGCUUGUUGGUAAGGUAACGGCUUACCAAGGCGACGACGCGUAGCCGACCUGAGAGGAGGAUCGGCCACACUAGAAGUGAGGCGAGACCCAGAAGACUACGGGGGGAAGCAGUAGGGAAUAUUACGGCAUGGGCGACAGCAGGACGGAGCAGCGCCGCGGCGGGGAGGAUGGUCUCCGGAGCGUAAAACUCUGCUAUCGGGAGAGAACAAAUGUGGAAGUGACUAUGCACGGGUUGACGGUACCUGAAUAGAAAGCCCCGGCUAACUACGUG
rnacentral:rRNA from 1 species